CUUUCCUACUGUGCCACCGGAGGGCCUGCAGGAAGUGGAUUCAGCAGAGUGAGUGGAUGUGUCCUUGGGGCCAGGGGGAGGGCCGGGUCUCUGCACUGUCCUCGGAGGCUCUCCGGCCAACUCCACUGCCGUUUCAGAGCUCCACCUGUGCUACCCCGUCCAGACCUUCCGGCCCAAGCUGGAGCCUGUGGACUCCAGGCCCAGGAGGAACCCAACACAGCUGAAGAGCA
rnacentral:lncRNA from 1 species